GCCCGGGUGGCGAAAUCGGCAGACGCGAGGGACUUAAAAUCCCUUGUCCCUAAGGGACGUGCGGGUUCAAUUCCCGCCCCGGGCA
rnacentral:tRNA from 2 species